AAAUUCCGCAAUAAAAAUGGGCACUUACAAUAUAAAGGAUAAUAGAACUUGGUAUCCUGAAGAUGAUAAGACACAUACUAUUUCGAGCACAAACUUUAUUAUUAUCUUAUUGGUCAGCGUUAUUUGGUGUUUGUGUUGUAUUCCCCUUCUCAUCUGGUGUAUUUGGCGUGUGGGACUUUGCUCUACCGAUGAGUGACUAGAGUCACUGCAGAAUGUGCCCAAUUUCAGAGCUAAGGAAUAUAGUUAUAAAUAUACUUUGAUUUUCAGAGCGGUACUGUAUUGUGGUUGGAACUAAACAAAUUUACGUAUUAUAGCAAAAUCAGAAUGUAAUCAGAUAUAUGUGUUUGUAUUGUAAAAGUUAUUGUAUUAAAAUCUUUUAAGAGUAUAACAGUCGACAAAA